AGUUUAUGUUAACGGGACAAUACCCUUAUAUCGAAAAAAUCAUAUGCAAAAAUAAGUCAGAAUUUGUUGCUAAUUCUGUACAAAAUGCUAACAAUUCGUGAUACUCUAACACGUAAGUUGCCAUUGAUAAUGGAACUAUAUUAGCUGCUGUUAAACCAGAGGGAAUAAUACUUCUAUAAAGAGUUAUAAUUAACAGUGUUUUUAAUCUUGGUGAGAAUUUAUACCAUUUUACAGCGUAGCUGAAAGAGUAAGUAUGAUAAUUUAUUAUUUUUACAAAAGAAAAAAAAA
rnacentral:lncRNA from 13 species